rnacentral:lncRNA from 1 species
GUACCGCAUUUACUAAAAAAAUCAGGAUUUGUUUGGACAUUUUUCGACUGGCAUGACUGGGGUCACCUCUGAUAAAAAAAGGUGAAAAUUCAGAGAGUAAUGCGAGAACGUUUUGAGGAUAAUUUAUGUGUGGCAUAAAUAUUUGUACAUCUAACGCACUAUGAAUUGCAUGAUUCUAGAAAGUAUAGGUUACAAUAAACCAUUAGAUUUUAUAGGCGCAGCCAUUUCAUGAACAUGGUAUUCAGAAUUAAGAGUAUGGCUAUAAUCCUAAUUGGUCGAUAUGUUCGCCCGUUAUUAUUAUUCUUUUUUUAUAAUUAUAGACUUCGUUCACUCUGCAUUAUACCAUAGGCAAAAUAAAUUAUUUUCCUUAGCCCUAACGGAACUGAGAUGUCUUUUCAACGCUAGGAUGAGACACGUGUUUUUAAGUGCAAAAUUGAUAGGCAUUGGAGAUAAGUACAAAUUACUUUAAGAAAGGCAACUGGAACCUAUAUUUUUU